CGGGGAUCAUCAUGUCACGAGAUACCCACUGUGCACUUGUGACAGAUUGAUAACUGAA
rnacentral:pre_miRNA from 1 species